GCCUUCGUGGUGUAGUGGUCAGCACGCUCGACGCGUAACCGAGAGGUCCGUGGUUCGAUUCCCGGCGAGGGCA
rfam:Stegodyphus mimosarum contig54614, whole genome shotgun sequence.